CGGGGUGUAGCGCAGCCUGGUAGCGCGCCUGCUUUGGGAGCAGGAUGUCGGGAGUUCAAAUCUCUCCACCCCGACCA
rnacentral:tRNA from 2 species